rnacentral:rRNA from 1 species
CCAAUAGCGUAUAUUAAAGUUGUUGCAGUUAAAAAGCUCGUAGUUGAAUUUCGGGGUUCUACCGUUGGUCGGGCAAUAGUCUGUACUGGCGCGUGGAAUUUCUACCUUCUGGGGAACCAUCAUGUUAUUUAUUUAGCGUGGUGGGAAACCAGGACCUUUACCUUGAAAAAAUUAGAGUGUUCAAAGCAGGCUUACGUCUGAAUACAUUAGCAUGGAAUAAUAAAAUAGGACGGUGGUCCUGUUUUGUUGGUUUCUGAAUCACCGUAAUGAUUAAUAGGGAUAGUUGGGGGCAUUAGUAUUCAAUUGUCAGAGGUGAAAUUCUUGGAUUUAUUGAAGACUAACUUCUGCGAAAGCAUUUGCCAAGGAUGUUUUCAUUAAUCAAGAACGAAAGUUAGGGGAUCGAAGACGAUCAGAUACCGUCGUAGUCUUAACCAUAAACUAUGCCGACUAGGGAUCGGACGAUGUUAAUUUUUCUUGACUCGUUCGGCGCCUUACG